AGUAGGGAAUCUUCCACAAUGGACGAAAGUCUGAUGGAGCAAUGCCGCGUGAGUGAAGAAGGGUUUCGGCUCGUAAAACUCUGUUGUUAAAGAAGAACACCUUUGAGAGUAACUGUUCAAGGGUUGACGGUAUUUAACCAGAAAGCCACGGCUAACUACGUGCCAGCAGCCGCGGUAAUACGUAGGUGGCAAGCGUUGUCCGGAUUUAUUGGGCGUAAAGCGAGCGCAGGCGGUUUUUUAAGUCUGAUGUGAAAGCCUUCGGCUUAACCGGAGAAGUGCAUCGGAAACUGGGAGACUUGAGUGCAGAAGAGGACAGUGGAACUCCAUGUGUAGCGGUGGAAUGCGUAGAUAUAUGGAAGAACACCAGUGGCGAAGGCGGCUGUCUAGUCUGUAACUGACGCUGAGGCUCGAAAGCAUGGGUAGCGAACAGGAUUAGAUACCCUGGUAGUCCAUGCCGUAAACGAUGAGUGCUAAGUGUUGGAGGGUUUCCGCCCUUCAGUGCUGCAGCUAACGCAUUAAGCACUCCGCCUGGGGAGUACGACCGCAAGGUUGAAACUCAAAGGAAUUGACGGGGGCCCGCACAAGCGGUGGAGCAUGUGGUUUAAUUCGAAGCUACGCGAAGAACCUUACCAGGUCUUGACAUCUUCUGCCAAUCUUAGAGAUAAGACGUUCCCUUCGGGGACAGAAUGACAGGUGGUGCAUGGUUGUCGUCAGCUCGUGUCGUGAGAUGUUGGGUUAAGUCCCGCAACGAGCGCAACCCUUAUUAUCAGUUGCCAGCAUUCAGUUGGGCACUCUGGUGAGACUGCCGGUGACAAACCGGAGGAAGGUGGGGAUGACGUCAAAUCAUCAUGCCCCUUAUGACCUGGGCUACACACGUGCUACAAUGGACGGUACAACGAGUUGCGAAGUCGUGAGGCUAAGCUAAUCUCUUAAAGCCGUUCUCAGUUCGGAUUGUAGGCUGCAACUCGCCUACAUGAAGUUGGAAUCGCUAGUAAUCGCGGAUCAGCAUGCCGCGGUGAAUACGUUCCCGGGCCUUGUACACACCGCCCGUCACACCAUGAGAGUUUGUAACACCCAAAGCCGGUGAGAUAACCUUCGGGAGU
rnacentral:rRNA from 2 species